ensembl:lncRNA
UUUUCAUUCAUGCUUCAGACACUGGCUACGAUGACAGCGUUCCCAUAGCGCCCUCUAGAAGACGCAGCGUGGAGUUCCCUUUCGAAAGGGAACAUCAUUCAGCUGUGGAUGGGACACUAACCAUGUUCAUAACUUUGAGAAGUAUGUUAUACCUUAAAUUAUAUAUAUUUUUUAUUAAAAAGUACAAUAUAUGUUUAAUAUUACUUUGAUUUUACAGAACAUUGGCACUACUGAAGAAGGGCUGAUUGGUUGACAUUGUAAUACAGGAUCAAGAAGUCUUGGUAAAUAUUACAAAUUACUAAGCAAACUAUUUUACUAUUAAUAUCCUAGCUAUCAUUUUUAGCAUUGUUAUUUACAAAGAGGUAGUCUCUCACUGACUUUUUACUUUUGUAAUGUUUUUCAUGUGUUCACAUAUUGUAUAGCAAUAUAAUCUGUUAUAGCUAGAAAAGUUUACAUUUCUUACAUUUGUCUAAUUUUUGUUACAUUCCAGAGAUUGCACAAAGGCUUGAGAAACGGCACAAUCCGAUCCAGCAGUAUGUUUUUAUUUAAACAUCCCACAUUUUCUCCAAAGCUGAGGAUGAAAACUAGCAAAAAGUUUUGUUUUUUGAUGAAGAACAGGUAUUUCAUACUGUUUGCCUUGUUUAACAAUUUAUAGUUAAAAUAAGUUUAUGUUAUGCCUUAAGAACAGAAGACUGUACAGAUGCAUAAGAAAGUAUAUAUCAGACGUUAUUUUAACAUCUCAUAUUUCAUUGGAAUGUAUACUGUCAAUGUAGAUUUUCCACAGAAAAGUUAGAGAAUUAUGAAUGUAAUUACGAAUGUUAUUAUGUACAAAUUUAACAAAUGUUUUGCUACAGACAGAGAGGAUAAUUGAAAGAAUAUACACAGUAACACAGCUGCCUAGGGUUUCCCUGGACAACACAACUUACGUUCUAUAUGAGCUAACACUGUUAAUGCUGCAAAAGACUGAGGGCUUUCAUAGGUUCCAGGCAGAAAUGGCUUUACAGUCAAACAUUGCUUUGGAGUAAGUCUUUCUUUUACUGUUGUUUUUUCAUUCAUCCUUAAAACAUGUCUGAAAAGCUUAUAUCCGUGUUUUAUUUCUCUUUUAAAGGGUCAAAUGUUUAAAUCCACCAUGGUUUUGAUGGCACUUCAUCAGUAGGAGUGUAAUCCUGUAUGAAGAGGGUGGCCCGCUGAACAACUGUACUUUAGGCCAAAAGUUCUUGUAGCCCUGUCUAGUAGCCCUGUCCCCAUAUUCUUUCACAUUUCUCCUAGUAGUUUAAGAUCAAUAAUAUCACUGAAAUUGAAUACUGAAUGUAAACAUUGUUAUUGAAAUACUGAUUUAGAUACAGUACUGGUCAAAAUUUUGGACACAUUACUAGUAGUCUCUUAUUAUCAUCAAGACUGCUUAAAGCCAAUUUGAUCAAAAAUACAGAAAGCACAGUAAUAUUGUGGAAUAUAACAAUUAAAAAUAAUAGUUUUCUAAAUUAAUAUACUUUAAAAUAUAAUUGUUUCCAUGAUUAAAGCUGAAUUUUCACCAACCAUUACUCCAGUCUUCACAUGAUCCUUCAGAAAUCAUUCUAUGAUGAUUUCCUGCUAUUAUCAGUAUUGGAAACAGUUGUGCUGCUUAAUAUUAUUAUUUGUUUUGUGUGAUACUUUUUCAGGAUUCAAUGAUCAAUAAAAAGUUAAAAAGAACAGCA